AUUGUUUGUAGUGUUGUUGUGGCUGUGUUGGUCCCAGCAUAUUAGAGAGACACAAGAUGGGUGAAGAAAAUCUCUGUGUAGCUCAGAAACUUGUCUCUUUAACCCAGAUGGCACAAUUUAAGUACAAAAGCUGCAGCUGAGGCAAGCCGUGAAGGGAAGUUCAUACAGGGAAGUCGCUCUGUACCAAUGUUUAAUUCCAACACGAAUCCAGAUUGCCUGGAGAAACAACACCAAAGGAAGGUCAGAUAGCAUGGAAGAUCAAUGCCAAAGGGCACAAGUGACUAAUUCAGUAGACCCAGGGCAGCAAAAGAAAAUAAAAAAUCAUGAAGCAG